rnacentral:misc_RNA from 1 species
UACGGAGGGGGCGAGCGUUGUUCGGAAUUACUGGGCGUAAAGGGCGCGUAGGCGGUGGUUCAAGUCAGAUGUGAAAGCCCCGGGCUCAACCUGGGAACGGCAUUUGAGACUGAACCGCUCGAGUUCGGGAGAGGAUGGUGGAAUUCCCAGUGUAGAGGUGAAAUUCGUAGAUAUUGGGAAGAACACCGAUGGCGAAGGCAGCCAUCUGGACCGAUACUGACGCUGAGGCGCGACAGCGUGGGGAGCAAACAGG